rnacentral:rRNA from 1 species
AGAGUUUGAUCCUGGCUCAGAAUCAACGCUGGCGGCGUGCCUAACACAUGCAAGUCGAACGCGAAAGGGGCUUCGGCCCUGAGUAGAGUGGCAGACGGGUGAGUAACGCGUGGAUGACCUACCCUCGAGCGGGGGAUAACGUUCCGAACGGGACGCUAAUACCGCAUGAUGUCCCGCCUUUGAAGAGGUGGUGACCAAAGCCGGGGACCGCAAGGCCUGGCACUUGAGGAGGGGUCCGCGUCCGAUUAGCUAGUUGGUGAGGUAAUGGCUCACCAAGGCUCCGAUCGGUAGCCGGCCUGAGAGGGCGGACGGCCACACUGGGACUGAGACACGGCCCAGACUCCUACGGGAGGCAGCAGUGGGGAAUUGUUCGCAAUGGGCGCAAGCCUGACGACGCAACGCCGCGUGGAGGAUGAAGAUCUUCGGGUCGUAAACUCCUGUCGAAUGGGACGAAUGGCCCGGCCGUGAAUAACGGUCGGGAAUGACGGUACCGUGAGAGGAAGCCCCGGCUAACUCCGUGCCAGCAGCCGCGGUAAUACGGGGGGGGCGAGCGUUGUUCGGAAUUACUGGGCGUAAAGGGCUCGUAGGUGGCCUUCUAAGUCAGACGUGAAAUCCCUCGGCUCAACCGGGGAACUGCGUCUGAGACUGGGAGGCUUGAAUCCGGGAGAGGGACGUGGAAUUCCAGGUGUAGCGGUGAAAUGCGUAGAUAUCUGGAGGAGCACCGGUGGCGAAGGCGGCGUCCUGGACCGGUAUUGACACUGAGGAGCGAA